AUAAUAAGAGCAGCAUGUAUACUAACAUUGCAAGGAUACUCAGAAGAUUAGCAUGGUCCCUACACAAGAGUGACGUGCAAAUUUGUGAAGCGUUCCGUAUUUUU